rnacentral:rRNA from 1 species
CUCCAGACUCCUACGGGAGGCAGCAGUGGGGAAUAUUGCACAAUGGGGGAAACCCUGAUGCAGCAACGCCGCGUGAGUGAAGAAGUAUUUCGGUAUGUAAAGCUCUAUCAGCAGGGAAGAAGAUGACGGUACCUGAUUAAGAAGCCCCGGCUAACUACGUGCCAGCAGCCGCGGUAAUACGUAUGGGGCAAGCGUUAUCCGGAUUUACUGGGUGUAAAGGGAGCGUAGGCGGCCUGGCAAGCCUGAUGUGAAAUACCGGGGCCCAACCCCGGGGCUGCAUUGGGAACUGCCAGGCUGGAGUGCCGGAGAGGCAGGCGGAAUUCCUAGUGUAGCGGUGAAAUGCGUAGAUAUUAGGAGGAACACCAGUGGCGAAGGCGGCCUGCUGGACGGUGACUGACGCUGAGGCUCGAAAGCGUGGGGAGCAAACAGGAUUAGAUACCCUCGUA